AACGCGAAGAACCUUACCAGGACUUGACAUGGGGAGGACGCAGUCAGAGAUGGCUGUUCCCGCAAGGGCCUCCUGCACAGGUGCUGCAUGGCUGUCGUCAGCUCGUGUCGUGAGAUGUUGGGUUAAGUCCCGCAACGAGCGCAACCCUUGUCUCAUGUUGCCAGCGGGUAAUGCCGGGGACUCGUGAGAGACUGCCGGGGUCAACUCGGAGGAAGGUGGGGAUGACGUCAAGUCAUCAUGCCCCUUAUGUCCAGGGCUUCACACAUGCUACAAUGGCCGGUACAAAGGGCUGCGAUGCCGUGAGGUUAAGCGAAUCCUUUAAAGCCGGUCUCAGUUCGGAUCGGGGUCUGCAACUCGACCCCGUGAAGUCGGAGUCGCUAGUAAUCGCAGAUCAGCAACGCUGCGGUGAAUACGUUCCCGGGCCUUGUACACACCGCGCAUA
rnacentral:rRNA from 1 species